GAGUUUUCGAGCAUGUGUCUCCAAUAAAUAGACUCAAUCCUGCUGAAAUCCAAUAUUUUUGUCAUUGAUGUUAUUUGUUUUUUUGUUUUUACUUGGAGGAAAACUUUUGGCCAAGUUAACUAAUGCCAGAUUAUUCCCCUGUCCAUUCUAUGGUUUACCUUUGGGCAACACGCGUCUGGAGGGGGAGUGGUCUUAGUUGGACCAAACGGUUGUCCGAUUCAGCUUUGCAGACUAAGCCUUUGAGAACAGCUGUGAAUUGGACCAUCAAACACUGGAACCAUUUCUAAAAAAAGAGGGAGAGAGGGGGCUCAAAAUUAUUCUAAAACGUUUUUUUUUUAUGUUUCUACUUAGGAGUCAACAUUUCUGUAAACAUUGUGUUCCCAACUUCAUAUUUUUUGUUGUUGUUAGACAAAAUGCAAACACAAAAGGUGAUCACAACCCUUCCCCAGGAUUUAGUAUUACUAUAACAGAGUUUCUGUCUCAUGCCGCAUUUAGGUUCUAAGUUCCCAGUUGGAAAUUUCACUGGAAUGAUGGAAUUACAAGUUGGAAACUGGAAAUGUUGUUACCUGCGUUUGACUAGUGAGGUUUCACCAAUGAUCUUGUUUCUUUUCAGCCACUAGAUGAAAACAAUAAAUUUUUGAUAAUUACAACCUUACCAACAUGCAUAAUUACACAAGUCAGACAAUUGCCAAUAUUGAGCAAGUCAGAUCUUUAUUAUUGGCAAUGUAAGUUAAUCAUGAUAGUUCACAUUUUAUUGGUUGAAGAAUGUUUCCAACUUCAAAAGCAUUUGAACACUAUUGAAGUUGGAUCGAUCACUUUCCAGUUCUUAUUUCCAACAAGCUUUUGAAGGCAGCCCUAUACAUGGACUUGCCUAUGUAUACCAAACAUGGUCUUUCAAAGCAUCAAACCUAUUGGGCCACAUGAUAGUAGCUACACUGAAACAACUUGCUGGGAGAUAACUGCAGCAUGUAGCUAAAAUGCCUUUUUAGGACCAACAUUUCAUUUUAAGGUUUAUUUUACUAGGUUUUGUAUUAAUCUGUUCAGAAAUUGAAUGUUUGUGUGAAAAAUGUGCCGCUCUUUUAAAUCUUUUUUUUAUAUAUACUGUAUAUAUCUGCAGAAGUGGGCAGGGUUUAGGAUCUGUGGGAGGGGUUUGGCAGCAGAGGGGG
ensembl:lncRNA